rnacentral:rRNA from 1 species
AAACGGCGGCCGUAACUAUAACGGUCCUAAGGUAGCGAAAUUCCUUGUCGGUUAAAUACCGACCUGCAUGAAUGGCGUAACGAGAUGGGAGCUGUCUCAACCAGAGAUUCAGUGAAAUUGUAGUGGAGGUGAAAAUUCCUCCUACCCGCGGCAAGACGGAGAGACCCCGUGGACCUUU